rnacentral:rRNA from 1 species
AACGAACGCUGGCGGCAUGCCUAACACAUGCAAGUCGAACGAGACCUUCGGGUCUAGUGGCGCACGGGUGCGUAACGCGUGGGAACCUGCCCUUAGGUGCGGAAUAACUCCCCGAAAGGGGUGCUAAUACCGGAUAAUGUCUUCGGACCAAAGAUUUAUCGCCUUUGGAUGGGCCCGCGUUGGAUUAGCUAGUUGGUAGGGUAAAAGCCUACCAAGGCGACGAUCCAUAGCUGGUCUGAGAGGAUGAUCAGCCACACUGGGACUGGGACACGGCCCAGACUCCUACGGGAGGCAGCAAUGGGGAAUAUUGGACAAUGGGCGAAAGCCUGAUCCAGCAAUGCCGCGUGAGUGAUGAAGGCCUUAGGGUUGUAAAGCUCUUUUACCCGGGAUGAUAAUGACAGUACCGGGAGAAUAAGCGCCGGCUAACUCCGUG